rnacentral:sRNA from 1 species
ACUCCGAGGAGAUAUCAGUCGGUAGAGGAGAAGUCGAGGUUAGAGGGAACUGGGAGGCACUUUGCUGUCUGCAGUCGAAGUUGAG